GCUUGCAUUAUUAAACAGGAUGCAUAUUACUCCAAAGGGUGAUUUCUUAUGAAAUAAGUAUGAAAUAUUACUCUUAUUACUUCAGAAGGUAAUUUCCUAUCAUGAAAUUUCAAGCAGUGAGGUCAAGUAGGGUGAAUAAUUGCAGACAGCGUUGGAAAGCUAGUGUUGAGCGCUUUAAAUUAGAACCCUCAACUGCCUCUCCUGAAUGUCUGUCCUCAACCUAAAGAGAUUGCUGGAAAAGCCAGAGCAGCAGUCUAGUGAUGCCCCAGAAAACAGUCUUUCCCAUGAGGUCAAAAAAUAAGAGAUCAUUUCCAUAUCUGUAGGGAAGUGGAGCUAAGGAAUAGUAAUCAUCUGCUGGUUGCACCACAAACUUCUUCCGUUUCCUUUUGUUUCUCACUCCCUUUAUGACCCUUUCUUUCUUCCCACUUUUUAUCUUCCUCUUGUCACAAAACACUUUCUUCAAAUACUUGAAGCAUGCAUUUAAUUUGGUACCACUAGCUACACAUUGAUACAAUCUCUUGUGCAAUUUGGAGAAUGGAUUUACAAACUUUAUAUGAAAGAACAAGCCCUUUUCCUUCUCUCUCAGAGAAGGAAAUGAGAUCAAGGACUCUCAGCUAAGAACAUAACCGAGCCUUAUUCAUAUAAUAAUCUUCAGGUUUUUUUCUCUUGAAAACUAAGGGAAUGUCCAUCAAAGGCCCAAAGAGGAGGAAGAAUAUUUGGAGAGAGGGAUAUAGAGGAAAGAACCAAGCAACAGGACAUGGAAUUCAUGGAGAUUAGGCAUAUCUAUCCAAUUACAGCACAGGAAAUGUCUCUGCUCUUCUUAAAGAGUUUGGGUAGUCCUGUCUGAGAGACUUAAUGCUCAUUUCAGGAGAUGUGUCUGUGUUUCAGGGCAACAGACAUGCCUGUAACUCCAACUGCAAAGGAGACUCAAGUAGACAAGCCCAUGGCCACCCUAGGUUCUUAUUGCAAUGAUGAGCUCCUGCUGGAGAAAGGGGAUAAAGGGGGGGUCACAGUCUGAUAACAAAUAAUGAGGCUGAUGGUCUCCCAAGAAGGAUGAAUGCUCCUAUUGAGAAGAACAUCAGCAUGUCCUUCGUCCCUUUUCCUCAGCUGCUUAUGUCCUCUCUCACCCUUGGAGUGAUCUAACAUCUCUUGGCCAGCCUCUCAGACACAGAGCCAGCUUCUGAAGGCUUAACACGCUCUCAUGAGGACUUUCAAGUACUAUCUUGCUGGAAGCCAGCCAUUUUGGUCCACUUCUCUAUGGCAACACCCAGCCAUGAAGAAGUUGGAGAUGCCUGCUCCUUUGAAUUCCAAAGAGUAAAUUCCAGAACCCUAGAUUUUGACUGUCUUCCAAAGCCAGGGGCCAGCCUGGUAGUGAAAGAAAUCUGGGGACAGAUGGUAUGAAAUUGAAAUCACAUAAUCACUAUACUCUCCCAAAUGCUGGCCUGUAAUUUUGGAGAGUCUCCACAAAGCUCUGUGGCACUAAUGCUGGUUUUGCUGGAGGUCUGCAUCUUAAAUAUGGGUGCCUGAACAUCAGGGUUGAUGAAGAGUUGGCUCAUUAA
rnacentral:lncRNA from 1 species